GACGAACCGAGCGAACGUUGUUCGGAAUCACUGGGCUUAAAGGGCGCGUAGGCGGGUGCUCAAGUCCGGGGUGAAAUCCCACAGCUCAACUGUGGAACUGCCUCGGAUACUGGGCGUCUCGAGGGUGGCAGGGGUAUGCGGAACUAUCGGUGGAGCGGUGAAAUGCGUUGAUAUCGAUAGGAACUCCGGUGGCGAAGGCGGCAUACUGGUCCACUUCUGACGCUGAGGCGCGAAAGCGUGGGGAGCGAACAGG
rnacentral:rRNA from 1 species